GGCGCGGUAGCUAAGUGGCUAAAGCACCGGACUGCAAAUCCGGGAUACGUGGGUUCGAUUCCCACCCGCGCCU
rnacentral:tRNA from 1 species